GCCAUUGCUCUCAUCAGGCAGAGAUUCGCAGUGGGAGAGGGGAGGGGAAGACCACAAUGCCUAAUGGAAUGAGCACUUCUUUGGAUAUUACAAAUUGACCUUAUUACCUGCGAUGAGCCUUACGAUGCUAUGCCAGAACAACCUGAGAGACACAUGGAGAAAUGCAUGGCUUUGUAUCGAGGGAAACACAAUCCUGCGGUUUGAAGAGACAACAAAGGGGAGUCCCCCAGAAUUCCCUGCGUCAUCUGCUGGACCUGCCUGAGAAAGAAUGCAGCAAGGUCCCACUCCCCUCAUUGUUUAUUCAGAGGCACACCACCCUCCCAGGAGUCAUAAAGGGGAGGCAGUCCUUUGUGAGGGGGAGCAGAGCAGAUUUACUGCCAGGGGUUUCUCCACAAAGGGCUGUGCCACUGUCACAACAGGAGUAGAUCAGGAGCUCUCCCUUUCACAGUGUGAUUUAACACCACGCUUCACACAGCUACUGGUGCCUCUCUGGCCGUAGACUUUUCACCGGGGCUUUUAGUGUCACACACACUCACUCACCAGACGUUCACACACUUUCAACGAAAAGCAGUAAGCGCUCUGCGGCUCAAUUUUUAAUAGCUGUGACUGAUGUUUGUGUUUUUCCAACCGCAUUUCCUAACAUGUAUAACCUUGAUAACAAGCUUCAGAGUUGAAUGUUUUUGUUUACAUAUUUUGUAUUAUCUCAGAAAUCGAUUGAUCUGAAGUGAUGCAGGGAGAACUGUGCAGCGGGGUUACAAUGGUAUGUGAGUCUGUGCUCUCUGGAGUUUCAUGGUGAAUUUGUCUCAGGUGACACUUUAUCUCGCCUGUUGGAGAUGUCAGACUGAAUUAAGAUGCAUAUGCAAACAUAAGGAUUAUAAAUCUGUCCAAGUGAUGUUUUUAUGAGCCAAAAGAACCACCUGAUAUGCAAGUAGCCCAAAUAUCUCCCCAAACUCAGAUGUAACAAAAUCCUGUGAGAAAUCAUUAUGAUGCGAUCAUGUGACCAUUUAUUAGAGCUACACCAAAGAAUCAAACUUAAAAUGGAUGUCAUCAAUAAGAAUGCAUUUAAAUCCCUUUGAACCACACUACACUCCCACUUCCUCAUAUUGAGACUUGAAGACACAGAAUGACAAGAGGCUAAGUGUGUAAUAAAUGAGGUGAACAGAUGGCGUGGUAAUGAAUGAGGAGUUCUGUACUCCUUAGUGGUCUAAUGGUGCAUCUGUCAUUGCAUUGCAUUGCAGUGACUAGUCCAGGAUUGUUAGAUGGGGUGUAACGGCAGUUGUCUAAAUGCCUUUAUGAGUGCCAUGCCUGCUGUGCUCUUUGGGCUCUGACCGAUAACUUCUGGGUUUGGUUUCUUCAGCCAGUCAGUUUUGAUUUCACCACUGUGUAACUUCAGAAGCCAGCCCUCCAAUCUCAAAAGCAGCUUGGGUUCCAAACAGCACUGGUAUUAAGACACCUUAACAAAGCAAUAAAGUCUGGUGGCAAAACA